CACUCAGAGUCCUCAUGUCUAUCUUUCGUUCGAUUCAUCACCAUUUUCCUCAUUUCUGGCGUUCAGAGCCAUUGGGCACACUCUUUCGGGCCUUUUGAGCCAUUUAUUUUCUUUAAUUUUAACGUUCAGAGCCACUGUUAUAUUUGACGUUUGCCGCCACUACCACAUUUUUUCUUUUAGUUUGGCUUUCAAAGCCGUUUUUCAUACCCAUUCGUGCAUUUUGAGUCAUCAUCUUUCUUAGUUUUGGCAUUCAGAACCAUUGUUCUGUUUGACGUUCAGUGCCACCGUCAUUCUCUAGUUUGGCGUUCAGAGCCAUUGUACACAUUCAUUCGAAGACCUUGAGUCAUCAUCUUUCCGUGUUUUGACGUUUAGAGUCAUUUCUCCUCGACUGUAUCAUUCAGGGUCACAGCCCCUGGCAUUCGUAUUCGCUGACAUUAUACGUCUUGACUCCAUGGCUUUGCAUAUAUCCUUGUUUUCCUCACCGCGUUACCCUGUGCUUAUCGCUUAUUAGUCAUUGCUCUUCCAGAAUUCUCUUUUCAUUGCCCCUGACACGGUCCUUUGAGUUUAUGACACAUAUUUCGGUCAUGUUGUUGGGCACCCUAUGCUUGGCACUUUCAUGUAGUUUUCUUCGGGCAGUCUUCUUGGGACACUUUCUUUAUAGUACUCCAGAGUGGUUCGACAGUUACUCAUCUUUGAUAUGGUUUUUCGAGUCACUUAUGGAGACGUCUUAAAAAAAGUCUGGAUCCUUUAGUGUGGCUUCAAAGUCAUUUUGAGACAUCGUUUUCUUUUAGGAUUAAAGCCUUUAUGUUCGUCUAUUGACCUGAGUAAGUCCGUGUUUCACUGGUGUCCCUAUGGGGGUCUCUUUGUUUCUUCGGUAGAGUUCACUUCAUUCCACUCAUUAUUCACACUUUCUUUUUACUCUAGUAUUCAUAUUCCUUACAUUUGUAAAUUCUACCGAAGAUGGGCAUAUUUGUAGACCCCCUUUCAGAAGACCAAAGACUAUUAAUUCUUUUAGGGAUUUUUUUUUAGCAUGGAGGGAAUGCUAUUUCACCACUUGGUAUACCUGGUAGCACCCGAGAAGUGUGGGGGGACCCCUCUCCAUGCAUGGAUCCCAACUGCAUGCAGACGGUAGGGGACAUGAUGGUCGGAUGAAGGUGGUUGAGGAGCCCAUACCUGCUGAGGGGAUGAACAGAGAAGUAGGUAAUGGCUUGCCCAAGAAGAUAGAGAGAAGGGGGGGGGGGGGGGCAGAAGAAUUUUUUGGAAAAAAAAAAAAAACCGGAAAAAGAACUGAAGGCAAGGAGGGAGCCAGAUGUCUGAAAAAGGGGGAGGGGAAUCCCAAAAGAAAGGAGAAACCUGGAGGGGGAGAAGGGGGAGAGGGAUGAUAUUUUCCCUGGGUCUUGGGCUCCCUUGGAGUAUAUGAACUCCCUAUUUUUCUCUUAAUAGUUUUGAGUAAAUAUCAUCCGGGUAUAUGUUUCGUUUCCUGGGUCAUAAUUAUGGGUUGGGAGCUGCCAUCUCUUUCCUAUUUUUGGGUUGGUUGGGNNNNNNNNNNNNNNNNNNNNNNNNNNNNNNNNNNNNNNNNNNNNNNNNNNNNNNNNNNNNNNNNNNNNNNNNNAGAGAGGUAUGAUAUUUACCAUGGCUCGAGCUGAGGGCAAGGAGGGAGCGAGAUGUCUGAGAGAGGUGGAGGGGAAUCCAGAGAGAAAGGAGAAGCCUGAAGGAGGAGAAGGGAGAGAGGUAUGAUAUUUACCAUGGCUCUUGGACUCACUUGAUGUAUAUGAUCUCCUUAUUUUUCUCUUAAUAGUUUUGAGUAAAUAUCAUCUGAGUAUAUGUUUCGUUUCAUGGUUCAUAGUUAUGGUUUGGAUGCUGCUAUCUCUUUCAUAUUUUUGGUUUGUUUGGAGAGCAAUGAAGCUAUGUUUUAACCUCCUCUUCAUGGCCAUUACCAUGCUCAUCAUCCACCCCCCAAUACCCACACUGUCACGCACUAAUAUACCAACUCCAUUUCAUCACCAUCCGACAUUCCAUGCAUGGCCGUCACCCUUACCCAUCUUCCCCAUCAUCUUUUCUCUCUCUAGCCGACAUACUCAUCCCUCACCCACGUGCGCGGAACCUGGUAUACCUGGCUGCCCACCAUGCCCGUGUUCAGCUCGUCUCCACAAGAACCCCCAAAGCCGCCCGUCUACACGCGUGUGUCCCAUGCACGCAAGCCGCCCUGUCCCUCUUUUUUUUUUUUGCUGCAUGCACCGCGUCGACAAGGCCCCUGCUCCUUACCAGCCACCAUCACCCGCUCUAGUCAUGCGGGCAUUCGCACCAGCCGCCAUGGCGGCAACAUCUCUUGGAUGCCACGGGACUGCCGCCACUGCUCCUCUCUCCAUGGUGCCGCUGGCGGUGGGAGCUUCCUCUGAGGAUGAUAUCCAGGCGGAGGGGCAAGCUAUGAAGGAGAUGAAGUCUUGGGCUUGAGAAGAAGCCCAACCCAAUCAUGUUGAUGGAACCAUGUCAUCUCAAAUAAGUGGGCUGUGAGAGGAAAUGAUGCCUUGGGCUUGCCCAUGAUGAGAAUUGAUUUGGGCUUUAGUGGGCUGGACCCAGAUGAAAGGUCCAAGCUUGUCAUGAAGGUAAUGGGUGCCUUGGGCUUGCCCAUGGCAAGGACUUUGGGCUUAAGUUGGAGCCCAGGCCCAAAAGUUGCUGAUGAAAGGCCCCAUUGCUCCUUAAGCCAAUCACCCUCAUGGCCCGAGUCCAUGUUGAGUUAGCCCAUUUGGUUGCCUUAAUUCCAAAAAAAUCUCUAUACCUCUAAUCCUUCAAAAAUCUCAUGGCUUAAUUUAAUUUUCCAAUAGAUUCGUUUAAAUCUCAUUUUCAUCAAUUAGGACUAUUAUCAUAUACUUAUCUAACUAUUUAAAGCCUAAAUCUUUCAAGGAAAUCAUAUGCCUUAAUUUAAUUUUCAAUAAUUAGUUCAAAUCUCAUUUUCAUCCGUUAAAAUUAUUUAUCCCAUAUUUAUCUAGCUAUUUAAAGUCUAAAUCUUUCAAGGAAAUCAUAUGCCCUAAUUUAAUUCUUCAAUAAUUAGUUCAAAUCUCAUUUUCAUCCGUUAGGAUUAUUUAUCUCAUAUUAUCUAGCUAUUUAAAGUCUAAAUCUUUCAAAGAAAUCACACAUCUUAAUUUAAUUUCUCAAUAAUUAGUUCAAAUUUUAUUUUCAUCCAUUAGAAUUAUUUAUCCCGUAUUAUCUAGCUAUUUAAAGUCUAAAUCUUUCAAAGAAAUCACAUAUCUUAAUUUAAUUUUUCAAUAAUUAGUUCAAAUAUCAUUUUCAUCCAUUAGAAUUAUUUAUCUCAUAUUUAUCUAGCUAAUUAAAGUCUAAAUCUUUCAAAGAAAUCACAUAUCUUAAUUUAAUUUUUCAAUAAUUAGUUCAAAUCUCAUAUUCAUUAGAAUUAUUUAUCAUAUACUUAUCUAGCUAUUUAAAGUCUAAAUCUUUCAAAGAAAUCACAUAUCUUAAUUUAAUUUUUCAAUAAUUAGUUCAAAUCUCAUUUUCAUCCCUUAGAAUUAUUUGUCACAUAUUUAUCUAGCUAUUUAAAGUCUAAAUCUUUCAAGGAAAUCACACAUCUUAAUUUAAUUUUUCAAUAAUUAGUUCAAAUCUCAUUUUCAUCCAUUAAAAUUAUUUAUCCCGUAUUAUCUAGCUAUUUAAAGUCUAAAUCUUUCAAAGAAAUCACAUAUCUUAAUUUAAUUUUUCAAUAAUUAGUUCAAAUCUCAUUUUCAUCCAUUAGAAUUAUUUAUCCCAUAUUUAUCUAGCUAAUUAAAGUCUAAAUCUUUCAAAGAAAUCAUAUAUCUUAAUUUAAUUUUUCAAUAAUUAGUUCAAAUCUUAUUUUCAUCCAUUAGAAUUAUUUAUCAUAUGCUUAUCUAGCUAUUUAAAAUCUAAAUCUUUCAAAGAAAUCACAUAUCUUAAUUUAAUUUUUCAAUAAUUAGUUUAAAUCUCAUUUUCAUCCAUUAGAAUUAUUUAUCUCAUAUUAUCUAGCUAUUUAAAGUCUAAAUCUUUCAAAGAAAUCAUACGUUUUAAUUUAAUUCUUUAAUAAUUAGUUCAAAUCUCAUUUUCAUCCCUUAGAAUUAUUUAUCCCGUAUUAUCUGGCUAUUUAAAGUCUAAAUCUUUCAAGAAAAUCAUACGUCUUAAUUUAAUUCUUCAAUAAUUAGUUCAAAUCUCAUUUUCAUCCAUUAGAAUUAUUUAUCCCAUAUUUAUCUAGUUAUUUAAAAUCUAAAUCUUUCAGGGAAAUCCUAUGUCUUAAUUUAAUUCUUCAAUAAUUAGUUUAAAUCUCAUUUUCAUCCAUUAGAGUUAUUAUCCCAUAUUCAUCUAAUUAUUUAAAGUCUAACCCUUCAAAAAUCUCAUGUCUUAAUUCAAUUUUUCAAUAGUCCGUUCAAACCUUAUUCGUCUAAAUGUUAUUUUCCUUAAGUAAAAUUAUUAUAGUAUAUUUAUUUAUUUAUUUAUUUAUUUAAAGUCCAAUUCUUCAAAAAUCCAACGUCCUAAUUUAAUUUUCGAUCUCAAAAAUCCCACUACUCAUUUUUCAUUCAUUUAAAUAUUAUUUUCAUUAAAUUAGCAUUAUUAUCCCAUACUUAUUUAUUUAUUCCAACCAUUAAAGUUUAAUUCAUCAUAACCCGACUUCCAAAUCUAAUUUUCAAUCUCAAAAGCUCCACCGUCCCUAUAUUGUCGUUUAACGAUUAUUCUCGUUAUUAAUGUUAUCUCAUCCACUUAUUCAGUUAUUCAUAUACCAAAGAUCUCGUCCCUAAAUAUUUUCUUAAAUUUUCAAUCUAUGAGUUUAAUCUCCAAUCUCUAAAAAUUCCAUCUCUCGUAAUUAUUUACCUGAUCUUUAUUAUUUCACCAUCCCAUUCAUUUACUUACUCACUCAUUCGCUUAUCCACUCGUUUAAAAUCCCGAACUCUCAAAUCAUUUUUCAAAUUUCCAACCUCGUUCAAAUUCAAUUUCUAAUAUUCUCGUUCUCACAUUUAGUUUCUAAAAGUAUGAUCUUCAAAUAAACUUUAAAAUUCCAAUUUUUAAAUAACCAUCGGGACUCCAAUUUUUCAAAUGAAUUUCAAAUAUCCGAUUUUCUCUCAAAUAGUUUUAAUUUCAUUCUGGUCUUCAAACAAUCUUCUGCUCCUCUUGAUUUUAAUAAGCAUGAACGAAUUUUUCAUAAUUCCAAAAUAAUGGAGUCUGUGACGUUAAGUCAUGCAAAUAUAAACGGGUUUUAGUGGGAGCCCAACAUGGGUGACUUUAUGAUUGAUUGAUUGAUUGUUUGAUUUAAUUAUCAUACACGAUUGGUUUAUCCUACUCUCUAACAUGCAUGCGAUUAUUCCUAAAUUGUGCACUAACCCUCUCUAUUGAUAGCGCAUGGUGGCUCGUUGCCCAGGUAUGUACCCAUUUUCCCUCUAAUCGUUGUCUAUGCAUGUCUCGAUUCUUAUAUGUGCAUGAUCAUUCAGGAUAUUCAUUGAUUUACUCAUCAAUUGUCACGUCAGCUUCAUUUUAUUAGUAGAGACCCAACUUUAGGGACUUACAAGGGUGCUACGGCCUUUACCGUACCUUCCCGAUAAGUAACCUGACCCCCAAACCGGAUCCGGUUUUUCGUAAAUCACCUUUUCCAAAAUAAGGAGUCGUACUUAGGGUUUUCUUUCUUAUUUUGUUUACUCUUUUAAAAAUAAAAUAAAAAUAAGUGAUGACUCUCAGUCAUUUUCUUAAUCAAUAAAAAUUGUUUUUCAAAUAAAAAUCGAGCUCACCAUCCAGUGGGAAACGUAUGAGCCGAAAUGCGGGGCCACAACCAUUAUCAAUCAUAUUUUUUAAAAAAAAAACUAUUUACUUAAUUACUUUAUUCACCACCAAAGAUUUUCCUCGUCUCUUGGCAUAUAAGCUCAUGGGUCGAAGUUCCACGAAACUCCAGGGUACAACAAGGGGUAAAAAGGUCACAUAUCACAGUCACUUCCCAAAUACGUAUGAAUUGAUUUCGUGCAAUCCAUCAUCUUCAAGAAACAAGAGGCGAGAGAGCCGUUUCACGUACUGAAUUUGGGUGUUGUGGUGAGUCUCAUGGACAACUGGACUCGAAAAUGAUCCGACUCUUUUAUGUCGUCUCGGCAUUAUUAAUUUCCGCAAAUCCAUCACAUUGCGCCCCGUACGUUUCUGUUAGGAUUCUUUCAAAUAAUUUUUCACGUAUCCGAUUACUAGUCUAUCUGAAAAAGCAGAUAUUUCAAAUUGUUGGCCCCGCUUUCAUCUAUAAUUAGCCUUAUUAGUCAAAUAAUUCACACUACUCAUUGUUCAUGCUCACAGAAGCACUUAUCUCACUAUUCAAGUGGAAUGGUUGGGCAACUUCACCACUACUCUAUGAAUAUAUUUUAUAUGUUUUGAGCACUUCUGGCUUUGAAUAAAGCAUUUUUUAUAGUCAUAUUUGUACACCUAAUUUUCAUAUGAAGUCAUAUUUGUACAGCUAAUUUUCAUAUGAAGUCAUAUUUGUACAGUUAGUUUCCAUAUGAAUCGAGAGGAGGAAAAGAGAAAAAUGUGAAAUGGCCAACCUUUUCCAUACGUGAAAUAUUGGUAGUCCAAUGCAGGCUCCUUUUUUUUGAAUGGAAAAUAACUAUAUUCAAAAGGAUGAAUUCUCCGGAAUGGGUGAAUUUCAGGAUUGGGCCUUAAGUGCUUUAGCAAAUGUCAAGUAAGCGUACGUGAAGAUAUAAACAGCGAGUCAGGAUCCUUUUUUUACACAGCCUCCUCCCAUUCGCCUUUAGCCACUUACGCGUGAAUUCCGCGCUUAGAACAAUUUUAACAUCUCAUGCAAUGCUGGUCCACCAAAGAAUCCAAUCAAAAUGCUAUAAUUCAAUUCAUUACCACGGAAUCUCAAACCUGUUGAUUCUUCUCAUAUCAAAAAGCAACUCAAUUAUGGACAACUUUUCUUCUUUUUCUCCAUCAAAUACUCAUGGUGGUAGAUGCCUCCUUUCUUUAUCUCCCUAUAUAUAUUUAUUUAUAUAUCUUUCCCACAGACAAAACCACUUCCAAAGCUCUCUUAACCAGCCAUGGGUUCCAACCACAAGAGUCUCCAGGCAAUAUUGGGCGCACCAGGAGUGAGGGGUAAGAGGGUAACGGCUCUAUCAAAAGAUGGAUUAACUGAUUUUGUGCUUUCCAUGAUCUCCAAGAAACAAGAGCUCAAAGAGCCAUUUUAUGUGCUUGAUUUGGGUGUGGUGGUGAGUCUCAUGGAGAAGUGGUCUCGGGCUCUGCCUCUGGUUCGACCCUUUUAUGCUGUCAAGUGCAACCCGGACCCCACAUUUCUUGCUGCACUAGCGGCUCUCGGCUCAAGCUUUGACUGUGCUAGCCGCACGGAGAUUGAGACCGUUUUGGGUCUUGGAGUUUCUUCGGAUCGGAUUAUUUUUGCAAACCCAUGUAAAGCCGAGUCUCAUAUCAAGUACGCCGCAAGCGUAGGCGUUAACUUGACAACUUUUGAUUCAAGGGAUGAAAUCGAGAAAAUUCGAAAAUAUCACCCGAAAUGUGCCUUAUUGAUCCGGGUGAAACCUCCGGAGCACGGUGUCCAUUAGAGUCCAAGUACGGUGCACUCCCUGAGGAGGUGACGCCGCUCCUCCAGGCUGCACAAGACGCUCGGCUCACUGUCUCCGGCGUGUCUUUCCAUAUUGGUAGCGGCGCCACCCUUGCGCAGGCCUACCGGGGGGCGAUAGCUGAAGCGAGGGCGGUGUUUGAUACAGCCUCGCGGCUCGGCUUGCCUCGAAUGCAUGUGCUCAAUAUCGGUGGCGGCUUUACAUCUGGGCCGCACUUCGAUGACGCCACUUCUGCUAUCAAAUCGUCUCUCCAAGCCUACUUCCCUAACGAACAUGGGUUAACCAUCAUAGGCGAGCCAGGCAGGUACUUCGCCGAAUCGGCUUUCACUCUAGUCACCAAUAUUAUUGGGAAGCGUGUGAGGUCGGAGCUGAGGGAGUACUGGAUCAACGACGCAUUUACGGCUCUCUGAACUGUAUACUAAACGACCAUGCAACUGUGACCGCGAAGCCUCUCGCUUGCACUUCCAAUAGCGUGAACCCCACGUGCCGUCGAGUUAGGACUUACUCCUCUACAGUGUUUGGACCCACGUGCGACGCACUUGAUACAGUUUUGACCGGUCACCAGUUGCCAGAACUGCAGGUCAAUGAUUGGCUGAUGUUUCCUAGAAUGGGAGCUUAUACCGCUGCUGCCGGGUCCAACUUCAAUGGGUUUAACAUGUCCGCGGUUACGACCCACCUAGUCUACUCGAAUCCAACCUGAGACGUGGUGCUUUUUGGAUGGUUGUUGACAAUCUUUUCCUUCUUGUCCCUUAUGGAGAAAUUUACGUAAGAAAAUCGAUUGUGUCUUUGCUUUGGAGUUUGGAAUAUUAAUAAUAAACAUGGAUUGUUGUAAUGGUGUGCUUUAUAAUUUAAUUAAACUAUUUUCCUUAUCCAUUUCUAGAAAACAGAAAUCAUAUAAUUUCUUUUCUUACUGGAUUGUACAUGUAAAAAGUUCAAUUCUUCUCAAAAAGUCAAAAUCACCAUGGUUAUCUUAAAAAAAUAAAAAUAAAAAACAAAAAUUGACAUGUGGUAACCACCCAUGUCAUAUAAUUUCUCUUUAUUUAUUUAUUAUGUUUGUCAAUUUUUUUUAAGCUUGACAUAUGUCCCAAAUUAUUUUUAUUUUUAUUUUCUCUUUCUUUAUUUUAGUUUUUUUAGUUUUUUUUUUUAUAUGUUAGUUACAUUUUUUUUAUGAAUUUUUUAAUUCUUUUUUUUCAUUCUUUCAUCUUUUUAUUUUAAUUAUUUAUGAACCCUUGAAAUAUAAAAUAAUAUAUAAUAUAUAAUAUAUAAUAUAUAAUAUAUAAUAUAUAAUAUAUAAUAUAUAAUAUAUAAUAUAUAAUAUAUAAUAAAUAAUUAAUGAAAAAUUUUAAUAUAAUUUUUAUUUUUUAUUCAUAUAAAAUAAAAAUAAAAAAUAAAAAAUAUUUUUUCAUGCACAAUUUGUAUUUAAUAAUUUAUAUUAAUUUUUUCUUAGUUUUAUUAAAAAAUAAUUUUUUUUUGCAUAGUGAAAAUUGUGCAACACAACUCUUAGAAAAAAAAGGAUAUCACUCUUUUAUAAAAAAAAAUAACAUUAAUUAGUAUAGCUCUUAGAAAAUAAGGUAUUACUCUUUUAUGAAAACCGUAACAAAUUGUUAAAGGUAUACUUAACACACUUGAGUAUUAUUAUUAUUUUAUAUAAAAAACAAAAGUAAUAUCCUUUUUUUCCAAUGGUUGUGUCUAUUUGUGCACAAUUUGAGUGUGCAAAAAUUUUAAUUUUUAAUAAUUUUUUAAAAAAUAAUAUAAAUGAUUAGAUACAAUUUUUUAACAAAAAAUUAAAAUUUUUAAUAAAAAAAUGUUAGAACCACAACCAAGUUUUUAUCCUCUUUAAUUAAAAAUAUUAAAUAUUUUAAUUAAGAAAAAAGUUAAAACCACAAUCAAAUUAAAUUCAUAAGCAAAAAGUUAAAACCAUAAUCAUCAAUUUUGAUUUUAUUAUGAAAAAUUGAAAAUUUUAAAAAAUAAAAAUAUUAAAAUAAUAUGACAAUGUAAUAAGAUUUAUAAAAUAAAUAAAUAUUUUUUAGUAGCAAUCUAAAAAUCUUAUAUUAUAAAUCUCUAAAUUUGUUCAUUGUGUAUUUAUUUUUAUAUUAAAUUUGUUUUCAUUAGUUAUUAAUUAUUUAUUUUUAUUUUAUAUUUAAAAUGUUCUUAAAUAAUUGAAAUCAAUGCAUAUGAAGUGAUGAAAUUGUGAAAAAAAAAUUAAAAUUUUAAAAUUUUGAUAAAGCCAACACAUUAAAAAAAGCAAAAAAGGUAUUUUUAACUUUUGAAAAUAGUUUUUGAAUUUUUAUAAAACAAAAGUCUAUUUGAAAACUUAAAAUAUUUUUAACACAUUUUUAAUAUUUUUAAAUAUGUUUGAAAAAUAAAUUUUAUAUCUGGUGUUUUAUUUUUUUAUUUAUUUUUUUUUAUCAUUUUACAUGUUUUUGUAUGAUUAUUUUGUUAAAAUAACUCUUAAAAAAUAAGUAAAAAUAAAAAAAAAAAUAUUUUACUUUUUAUUCUUAAUAAAAAAUCAUUUUUAAUUGUUAAUUUUUUUUUUUUUAUCUUUUAAAUAAUAAAAAACUAUUCUAAAAAAUAAUUUUCAUGAAUCCUAUUGAGAUGCUCUUACUUAAGCAACUAUCUCUAACAAAUUAUUUGGUCCUAUUUGUUAUUAAUGGGAUCAAGAAUACUUUCAAUAAGAAAUAUAUUGAAGAGUUGGUGCAGGGUAAUAAUGGGAUCAGAGUUUAUGAAAAGUCUGAUCUAAAAUUCCUAAAAAAAAAUUAGCCUUUUAUUAUUAAAUCAACAAUGAUCCGGUAAAAGGGGAUUUAAGCUAGGUUCAAUAGAAAAUAAGACAAUUAUGUUUUGGACCUACUUGAGUAAAAAAAUUAAGCUUUGGUCUGUAUAAGUUCACCAUUUAAGUUCAAGAUCUAGAAGAAGUGUGAAAAUUGAUAGGAAGGAUAUGAAUUUUUUAUCUUUCAAAAAAUGAUAUUUAUUGACUAUGAAAAAAGGAAAGUAGAAAAGCAUUAAUUUAAAUUUUAUUUAUUUUGUAAACCUCAAUAAAAUUUAAUUUAAUUUAGUGAUUUGGAAAAAAAUAUACCAUUUUCCAAAAACAUAAAAAUAAAAAUAAAUUAUUAUUAUUAUUAUUAUUUAAAAAUCAAACAUCUUAGAAAAUAUCUAUCUUUAAAAUUGUGUAUAUAAAAAAUAACUAAAAAUAUGUCAAAAUUAUUUUUUUUAAAUGAUGUAUUUUUAGAAUAUAUUUAAAAAAAAUUAGUUUUCUAAAAAUAAUGAAUUUUCAAAAUAAUUAUUAAAUAAAUAAAUAAAAAAGUUUAUCAAAUAUUAUGAUAGAAAAUACUCAAAAUAGUUUUGAAAUGCAUAUUGGUUUCUUCAUAUUUUAUAUUAUUUUUAUCAAUUAUAUAAUUUUUAUGUGUCAAAUCUUAAGUUUUUGGCUAAUUGGGUCAAAAGCACAAUUAUGCCGGGGGGAAAUAUGGAUGGAAAAGUUGUUGGUUAGGAACUUAGGACACAGAUUAUAAACUUUUUGUACGUGGUAUGCCUACCUUUUUUGAAAUAUUUCCAAUCGCUUUUAUAGACAAGACGAAUUGUUGGAAGUAUAGCAUCGAACAAGUAGACGUAGCUGUUGACUUGUAUGGCGAAACAAUGUUCUAUCAAAUCGGUCAAACUCUCCCAUUUCUGGCCGCUUCUCCAGUUCUCCUUCGUGAUUGAUAACGAGGUGAGGCCCACAUCCCAACAUAUCAUAUCUUACAUGGGCUGAUGAUUUUCCUACGUGGCCAUCAAACAAAUAAAGAAAAAUGGAAAGGGAGAAUCACGGCCACAUAAAAAUAAAAUAAAAUUUAAAUGUUAGAUUUUUAACUUUGGAAACAAAACACGUACAUUUUGGAAAAAUUUCCAAAAACUAGUCUCUCUACCCAUCACUCCUACCCCCCAUCACCUACUUAUUUUUAUUCUCUCUACCCAUCUCUCCUACUCCCAUCACCUACCUAUUUUUAUUUUUAUUUUUGACACGUCAGAGAGCAUCAUGAUUAUCUUAAAAAAAAAAAACACCUUUGAAAUGUGGCAACCAACCACUGGCACAUGAUUUAUUUAUUUUUUCAAUUUACUAGCUUCAUGAAAUUUUUUUAAUUUCAAUUUUUUUCACCACUUCAUAUUAAUUGAUUUUUAUUAUUUUAUUGAUAUUUUAAACAUAAAAUAAUAAUUUAUGAUAAAUAAUUAAUGAAAAUAAAUUGAAUAUUAAAAUAAAUACAUAACUAAUAAAUGUAGAGGUUUAGGAUAUAAGAUCUUUUAUAUUAUGUUAAAAAAAUAUUUAUUUAUUUUAUAAAUCUUAUUAUAUUGUGAUCUUAUUUUAUUAUUUGUAUUUUUAAAAAUUUUAAAAAUUUCAUGUGACAAUCAAAAUUAAUGAUCACGACUUUACCUUUUUGAUCAUGGUUCUAAAUUUUUGAUUGAUUAAAAUAUUUAAUUGUUUAUUGGUUAAAAUAUUUAAUUGUUUAUUUAUAUGAAAUAAAAAUAUAUUUUUCAUAACAAAUUGUAUUUAAUAAUUUAUAUUAAUUUUUUAAAAUUUUAUUAAAACUUUAAUUUUUUACUUACCAAGUACUGAAACCAAUUUAGAGUGUUUAGGAAGGUGUUAAUUUUUUUUUUGUGUACUUCAAAGAUGUGUAAUUUUAGUAUGCAAAAAUAUUAAAGAUACUUGAAAGAUGUAUAAAUUUAACAUGGAAAAUUUUUAAAUCUGUUAUAAAAUAUAUAGUUUAUUUUAUAUUUUAUAUAAAUAAAAAAUUAAAUAUCUUUACCAAGAAAAAAGUUAAAAUCAUAAUAAAAAGGCUAGAACUAUGAUUAUUGAUUUUGAUCUUCACAUGAACAUAUAAAAAUUUCAAAAAAUAUAUACAAUAAAAUAAUAUGGCAACAAUAUUUUUAUUUAAUUUAAAUAUGAUAAGAUUUAUAAAAAUAAAUAAAUAUUUUAUUAUUUUUAUUUAAUAUUGAUAUAUAAAAUCUUAUAUCGUAUACUUCUAAAUUUGUUCAUGUAUUUAUUUUUUUAUUAAAUUUAUUUUCAUUAAUGAUUUAAUAUAUAUAUAUAUAUAUAUAUAUAUAUAUAUAUAUAUAUAUAUAUAUAUAUUAUUAUUUUAUGAUUAAAGUGUUUAUAAAUAAUUUAAAAAUAAAUAUGAAAAACAUAUUUUAUUUUUAUUUGAUAUAAAUAAAAAUUACAAAUUUUAACAAUGCAAAAUAUUAGAACUAAAGCUAAGUUUUUAUCUUUUAUAAUUAAAAAUAUUAACAUUUUAACUAAAAUAAAAGAAGUUAAAAACACAGUUAAUUAAGAUCAUAAACAAAAAAACUAAAAUUAUGAUUAUUAACUUUAAAUUUUAUAUGAAAAUUUAAAAAUUUUAAAAAUAUAAAUAAUUAAUAAUAUGACAAUGUAACAUUAUUUAUAAAAUAAAUAAAUAUUUUAUUUAAUAGGAACAUAGAAAAUCUCAUGUUAUAAACCUUUAUUUUUUUAUUUUUAUAUUAAAUUUGUUCUCCUAUUUUCUUAUUAGGCUUUCACCUUAUAAAUUAGUUGUGUACACAUUAUUUUUUUUAAAGAAAAUAUAAGAAAAAAAUUAUAAUUAUUGUUUUUAUUAUAGAAAAUAAAAAAAUCAAAUUUAACCAAAUUUAACUAAGAUUCUUGCAAUUUUUUUUGUAAAUUAUUUUAAUUUUGUAUAUGAAAAAUAAAAAAAUAAGUUAAAUAAAUUAAAAAUAACAUAUGAAAUAAUUCAAUGGUUUUAAUCUAUCUUUUGUAUUAUUUUUCGUCUUCUACUUUUUUUUUUCCCCUUCACAUUUUUUGAAACUUAAACAUGAUAAAAAAAAAAAAAAUAGUUUUAGUUUGAGAUUAGAUUAGCUAAAUUCAAAAUUUAAAUUGAUUUUUUUUAAUAGGAAUUUAAUUAUGGCAUAACCAAAAGGAAAAUGUGAUCGUAUCUGGAAUUAAAGAUCAAAAUUGUUAUUUAAUAACAGGUAAACGAUUAAAAAAUUAUCUAAAAACAUCUGAUUGACGCAAUCAACCACGUGGCGACAAAAGAGUUUAGGUGAACAUGCGGCUCUCACGCAAUAUAAUCUUGGCCCGCUUGUGUUUUAGACGCGGGCCGGACUGGCCCAUUUUCAGCCCAUAAUAUUUGGGAUAAGUAGAAUAAAAUCCAAAAAUCAAAGGGAAAACAGCCAGAACCCCAGGUGAGCAAAGACCAGCUAUUCCGUCUAUUUUUUUGUGUCAUCACGCCAUGGAAGCUCUGAGUUCCUCUGCAACAAUCAUAGCUGCUUCAUCGUCAUCUCCAUCGAUUUUCUCCCCAAGGAAAAGAGACUCACCAAGAUUCCUUCGAGUCAACGUUUCUCCAAAAGGUAAGAUCUCACCACAGCAUCUGCCAUCAUUUCUGAUUUCUUUCGUUUUCUUUUCUCUUUUUGUGAAAUUAACAAUAGAAUAUGGUUUUGAAUCAGAUAACGGGAACGAUUCCGAUGUCCGAUCCGAAUCGGAUGAGUCAAGCUUGGUUCCCAUCCUGACGAAUCGUACUCUCUCGAAGGUGAGUUCCUGUUAACGAAAUCCUGUUCAAUUUUUAUUUUUAUAGUAAUUUAGGGUUUAUUUUUUAGGCUUAUUUUUUUUGGAAAUUUUCUUAGGAUGCGGCGAUGGGGUUGGUUCUGAGUGCGGCGUCGGUGAGAGGUUGGACGACGGACUCUGGUAUGGAAGGUCCUUCGGUUCCGGCGGCGGCGGAGGCCCGAUCCAGUACGGAGAGGAUCUCAACCUUCCCGUGGUCCCUCUUUACCAAAUCGCCACGUCGAAGGAUGCGCGUUGCCUUCACUUGCAAUGUUUGCGGUCAGCGGACCACUCGUGCCAUCAAUCCUCAUGCUUACACCGAUGGAACCGUUUUCGUCCAGGUAAUUUUUUCUCCCUGUCCUCUGUUUGGUUGAUGGGAAAAGAUAAUAGAAAAAUAAAAUAAAAUCAAUAUCUUGUUUUAUGUUAUUUGUUUCCAAAUAAUGAAAACAACUUGCCUGAAUAAAGCAUUAUGUAAGGCUCAAUUGAAAGAGGUUUCUGUUUUCUCAGCUGCAAUUAUAGUUUCUUAUUGUGAAUGGCGUGUCCGUGAUUUGCAGUGCUGUGGAUGCAAUGUGUUUCAUAAACUGGUGGACAAUCUGAAUCUUUUUCAUGAGAUGAAGUGCUACGUGAACCCGAGCUUCAAUUACAGUGAUCCAAGAGGGGAUGUGGGCUUCAAGUAUCUUGAUAUGGAUGAUGAUAAUAACAAUGACGUCUUUCCUAUCUUUUGAGGUGAAAGAAUUGCUUAUAUACUUGUACAUUUCCUAUAUCAUACUUAGAAACUGAUUUUAAUUGCAUCUGUAAAUAUAUUGUCACUAUUGGUUUACAUGGGGUGUUCAAUUAAUAAUUCAGAGUUGGAUCCUUUUUAGAUGAUUUGGGUCACCAGGUUCAUUACUUAAUACUUGGUUUAUAUCUGUUUAUAUUGGAAAUAAUGUAAGAACUUUGUCCAGCAUCCAGGUCCCUCCUAAUUUGAUGCACUCCUAUUUGUUGUGCUUUAGUUCUCAUCAUUUACAGAAAGAUCUUGAGGGGUAAGCUAUAUGGAUUAGGAAUUUAACUUUAGGUCAUGGCUAUAUGCAUUGGAGUUUUUAAUCAUUGUCUUUCUUGAAGAUAUAGAAACUAUGUGGAUUCUACUUUUGAAGCUCCUAAAGUUGCAGUUUCUAAUUCUGUGUUGCAGUUGUAGUGGGUUUUUUUCUUUUGUUAGAAAGUUGGUAUUAUUGGUACCCAAUAAACUAUAUAUUAGAUUUAGUUUCAUAGUUGGAAGUGAAAAUGAAAUUUAGAUGGAAAGAUUGAUGACCUGUUAUUGAAUAGUCUAAAGGGAACAAACCAUCUUGUAUAACAACACUUCAUUGGCUGUGCAAGAAGAACCUGUAUUAUGCUUGAUGAAAAUGUAGGGAUAAUGGAAGAGAUGAAACAUGGAAAUUGAGUAAGAUAUAAGGUAAAAAGAAGCGAGAUUGAAUUUAGGGCCUAUAAUGCUCUUUAUCAUGAGAUCUUCAGUAGUUAGAUUCAAGGACCAGUUUCUGUGUGGUUUUGUUCCUUCCAGGCAGUAGUUCAGUUCAUUCAACUUGCUGAAUCAGAAAAUAGGAUAUGUUAUUAAGUAUGAUCAAAACUGAAUGUUCAUGAAUACUUAUUUCUCCAGACAUUCAGCUUAAUCUCUGAAAUGAUUUUAGAAAAUAGUAGCUUAACCAUGAGCAUGGUAUUAUUGAGUUGAAAUAUGCAACAUAUAGCUUAGAAACCUAUUGUUAAGUGUGGCUGUUGGGGAUGUCAUUUAUGUUUGAAUGGUUAAGUUUUCUAUCUUUCUUGAGAUCCUUGACCUCAGAGGUGUAACAUUUAGUGUCCAAUAGUGCAAAAUUAGAGUUUUCUCUUUUACCAAGAGAAAAGAAAAAAAAAAAAAAAAAAAAAAAAAAGAGCAAAAAGGACAAUAAAAAAUCCAAACAGUGUUGGCUUGUCCAAAAAAUGUAUUUGUGUACCUUGCAAAGAAGUCUAAAAUAGGUGCCAUCUCUAGAAUGGGGUUAAUAAAUUUUUAACAUGUACUCACUUGUUAUACUUUCCAUAAUUUUGGGUUGUUUAUCUUGAUUUGCAGGAAAAUACUAAGAUCUAAGGUAAGGUAGGUGCUAAAUAUUUUAUUAAAGCUAAAACUUGUAGUGAUUAUUUAAGCUGACAUUUCAGUACUAAAUGUGUGUUGGAUAAACAUGAAGAUAUCACAUAAGUGGUACAUGGAUUGCCUGUUUAACACAGAUAUACAUAGACAAUUAACUGAGCAAUCUGUUCCAGAUUGAUAUUCCAAGGAUCACGAGGGCCCAUACUAACCCAUAAACAUUUUUUCAUCUUUAGAAAUGUAGAUGUGGGGCAAGUUGCUGCAAGUUUUUUUUGAUAAGUAAGCACAGAAUUCAUUCAAAGAAGGCAAAAAAGCCCCAUAGUAUACAGGACGUAUAUAAGGCAGCUAAGACCUUACAAGCAAAAAAAGACCAAAAACUCACCACCCCUUAACUGGAGGCUAACCACUCCAGGAAUCCUAUAAGGGAAUGCAAGUUGCUGCAAGUUGAUUCAAUUAAGAUGCCAUUUGGCUGAUUCUUUUUCUAGACAGACUCUAUCAACAGUUGGAAGAAGUUGUAUCCCUGGAAAUAAAAAAAGUACUUGGUGGUUUAAGAUUAAACAAUUGAACAUGAUAGAUUAGAGAUGAUUUUUUUGAAAUCAGAUUUUAGUGGUGCCUCUUUUUUUGUUUCCCAUUAAGUCCUACUUGAUGUAAGACAACCCUAGGAUAGUUGUCUACACUCAAAUAGGUGGGCUAGGGUUUUUAUUUUUUAGGAUGUAGGGAGAGAAACAAGGAAUCAAGUUUAUGGUAGAGAAAAAAAAAAAAAACCUUCUAGAAGUUUUACCUAAAAGAAAAUUAAUGGAGUUUCACUAAGGAUUGCAACACUUGUAAUAAAAAAAACAUAAUAUUAUUAACAUCAAUCAAUUCUAAAGUCUACUAGGAUUCUAAUAACUUAUUCAAACUUUGAUUCUAAUUAUCUUAUAACAAUUGACUUUAACAAAUGCUAAUCCUAACUUGACUCCAACAAAUACUAAUCCUAAUUUAAUUUCAUUAAAUACUAAUUUUAAUUUAAUUCCAAGUUAUACUAAUCUAACUCUCUAAUUGCAACUUGCAACUAAUACAAAUUCACUACAGGUGGUACUCAUUUAUCCUUGCUUCAGCCACUAAACAUUGUUGUUGAGAAUAACAUCUGUGUAAUCAUAGCUAGGAGAAAGCUUCAAUUCACUAAUUUUUAUGUUCCUGGUUGUUUUAGUGCCAAUUCUUGGAGUGUACCUACUUUGUCAUGAAAUUCUUGGUUUCAGCCUUCGUUGUUUACAAAUUUCGAUAUGUGAGGGUAGAAAAAAUACAUAAUGGUUCGACCUUUAUUGUGUGAAACAGAUGCAUGUGUAGAAAACAGAAAUUGGGUCUGUGGUGGAGGGCAGGACUUUGAGACGUGUGGUUUAGGUGGUGUAUUGAGAUGAGGGGGUAGGCGUGGUCCUUAUGUCUAAAAUAUCUUCUACAUUUCAUUAGAACUGGCUAGGAAAGCAAUGCAAAGGAAUCUUUUGAACCUCAUAAUCGUUUAAAAAAACUAGGUCUCCGAAAAUGAAUUGUUUGUUUCCUAUUAAAAUAUGAAUUUCAAGUUUUGCUGUUGGAUAUUUAAGAUCAUGCUUAUACUUGGAACGGAGUGUAAUAGAAUAUGGUUAUGGGAAAUCUAUCCCAUUUCUCGUUUUAGUACUUUCUAUGUUUGGAUGAUUUUAAAUUGCAGUCUCAUGAAGAGUUUUUUUCCUGUCAUUUUCAUUUUUAUCGUCACUUUUAUUCCUAACGCACCAAACGCAGCCCCAAGACACCUGGAGUUGUUAGCGACGAAUUUUUAUGAUAAUUUUCGGCUCGGGAAAAAAAAUGUGGCGUGAAUUUGUGUACGAAUAGGGUGAGGAGCUAAAAUGAAAAAUAUUUAUUUCCGCUUGAUGUUGUUACUCUAAUCGGUUUGGCAUUGUCUUGUUUCCCUGUCGUAUCGUUUCAAUUAUAUAUAUAAUAAUAAUGAAAAAUAUUUUUCAUAAAAAAUGAAUUAUAAAAUGUGUAAUAUUUAUUUCAAGGUUUAAGAGUUGGGGGUCGGGUCACCCUCCCACAGCCGGACGAACCCAGUAACCGCCAUCCUUAUGUAUAAACCCAACUCAGUAACCGUACCGGACAGUUCUUUAAUAUGUCUAAUUUUAGUAGAUGAUUCUAACGUUCAGGGAAAGAUCUCGCCCAUUAAGCCUUUAUGUGGUUGACCAGAAGUAACCAAUGAGAUUCUAGCAUUUAAUUGGACUUUCGCACCUUACUCCAUAAUAAUCUCGUCUGUUUCCCACUCCUCCUAUCAGAACUGCAUAAUGAUAUAAACGAACAAAAAUGACAUAAAAGAAGAAAAAACCUUCAUUUAUCUUUGGGAAUUUCCUGAAGUUAUUCUGGUUAAUUGUUUUUGCAAUAUCUCCCAAAUCUAAGUUAAACAAAAAAUAAAAAUAGUAAAAGACAUAACUGGAUGGCUAGGUAUUAGGAAUUAGGAUCAGCAUAAAUUUGUCCAAGGAAUGGCCCGAGAAUCUUGCUCGAAGGCAAAGCAUUUUUCUUCCUACGAUUACCGAGAAACGCGACGCCACUUUUUGUCUCUGUAUUGUAGAAUCAUUGUCUUCGGAUUUUUAAAUCCUUGAUGAUGUUGGAAAUUAUCUCUACUCCAUGGACUGGGGAAUUUCUUAAAGAAAAUAAUACGUGGCUUCACCUCGUGCACUCACCCCUUACUUUAUAAUUCUUUCAUAUCUUCAAGUUUAAUGAGAGAUUAAUAUCCAAUGAUUGUCUGCUUGGCACUUUCAUUAUGAUUUGAUGAAUUUGUCCACUUUUCUGUUUUAUCAUAUUUUCUUUAAUUGUAAUCCAUAGCAAGGAGGCGGAGAGGAAGUAAAAGACUCUUAGUUUCAGCAUUUGGCAUUUUGUAAGAGAGAUAUUUUGUUGUCCCUAUCUAUUUAUUUUUCUAUCCAUUUGGUCCAGUGAUACAGUUAAAUCACAAGAAAGUAUUAAUAAUAAUAAUAAUAAUAAUAAUAAUAAUUCACGAGAAAUCAAAUAUGUUUUUAUUUUGAGUUCAAUAAGAAUGUUAUAAUAUGUUUAGAUAUUUUUAUUAAAAGAAUUUAUAAAUUUAAAAGGAAAAUCUAAUAAGGUAAUGGUAUGUUUUAGCGAUUGAGUUUGAAUAGGUCUGAAAUCAAAAUAAAAUUCUCAAAUUGGAACUUCAAAUUCAAAUAAAAUUAUGGAUUAACUCUAACUUCAGUUUUUCAACUUCUUAAAGGCACAAACAAACAUAUAUCUAACAUCCCCAACUCUAAAUCACACAAUCAGAGUUGCAAAACCAAUCCUCAUUGGAAAAAUUUUCCACCUCCCACAUUCUCAACCUCACAUCAGUACAGCCAUGCCACGUCAGAGGAUAGCAUCCAAUCCAACCAAUAGCAGGCAUCCUCUGCAGAUAACCCAUUUCUCCACCCAUCCCAUCCUCCUUUAUCUCAUACAAAUACAAACCACACAAAUCAAAAAACACCACCUCACCGCAAGUCUUCGCUUUCUAUUAAAUCAUCCCCACACCCUCCUCUUCUUCUGAUUUCUUCCCUUGCAACCAGACACACUCACUCAGAGACAGUUGAAGGAAAUGGCCAUCGUCACCUCCGCCGCAGUCGCCAUCCCCUCAUUCACCGGCCUCAAGGCCUCCGGCGCAACCAUGACCCGCGCUGCCGCCACCGUCAAGACCAUCACCGCACCGGCCCCGAGGCUCGUGGCCAAGGCUGCACUGAAGGACGUGGGAGUGGCCGUCGUCGCCACCGCCGCCAGCGCUUUGCUCGCCAGCAAUGCCAUGGCCAUGGAGGUCUUGCUCGGCAGCAGCGACGGAGGCCUGGUGUUUGUGCCGUCGACCAUCACCGUCCCCGCCGGAGAGAAGAUCACGUUCAAGAACAAUGCUGGCUUCCCUCACAACGUUGUGUUCGACGAGGAUGAAGUUCCGUCCGGCGUCGACGUAUCGAAAAUCUCGAUGUCCGAAGAGGAUCUGUUGAAUGCACCUGGAGAAGUGUACUCUGUGACUUUGACCGAGAAAGGUACCUACAGUUUCUACUGUUCUCCUCACCAGGGUGCUGGUAUGGUGGGAAAGGUGACCGUUAAUUAAGUUAGUUUAUAUGAAUGACGAUGAAUUUGCAAGGAACAUCUCAU
rnacentral:lncRNA from 1 species